ACUCGAGCGCGGGGGCCGCAGUUGCCUCCACUGCCGCUACCGCUGCUGGAGCUGCAAGCGGCGGCCGCAGGAUCCGCAGCCGCAACCGCAUCGGGCGCCUGCUGGCCGUCGGCCCUUCCAUGCGCGGCCCGCCGCCCGCUGCCUGCCGUCCACAUGCGUCCCGCUUUGCCUCCAAUGCUAGCGUCCCAAUGCGUUAGAGGGAGAGGGUAGGCGAUACGUCACCUGUCCGCUACCGCCGCCGCAGCUGCAUCCGCACCCGGCGCCCGCAGGCCACCGUCCGCGUGCAAUUUGCUGCCCUCCGGUCAACACUUGCUGCCUACCUGCUUUGCUUGUGCUGCCAGUGCCACCAACGCUACCGUGCCACUGCGUGAGAGGGAGAGGGUUGCGCUGCAGCAGCGUCAUCUCUUCAUGUCGAAGGCGCAGCGAUGGCAACAGAGACCGCUCCACCUAUCGCUCAUUAUGUGAUUUUAGUUGCUGCAGCCCCAUUACUUGCGAACUGAGGGUUCUUAAACCUUCUAAACUCUAUGGUCUUAAGCUUGCAACUGAAUUCAUUAGAUCUAGAUUUAAUUUGGUUUCCUUGUAAUGUUUGAACCACGCUAGAUGUUCCUUUCAUUCUUCCUCUUUUUCUGUCCUUUUCUCUUUGCAGCAUUAUGUUACUGUUAUGUGUCUCCCCUUUUACCUAUAACAUUUCUAAAUUGUUUAAAAAAAAAGAACUAUGAAGGAACGACAAAAAGCAAGGCAACAAAUCAGCUUUCCACAAGCAGGGAAGGUACUGGCCAGGAUGAAACUUUAGAUCAUGUUUCUGAUUUAGAUGACACAAGGAAGAAAAACAUCUCAUUAGAAGGUGAUUCAUCACUUCAUAUUGGAACCAAAAGGUACCAAGGUGGCACCAAAAGGAACAACUUUGGAUUUAUUAAUUUGACUUACCUGUUUACAAUAAACAUAUGAUUACUUCUAUUCAUAUCUGCACAGAACAUUACAAUGCCCUUUUGUACUAAUUCUAUAAGUACAAGGCAAAAGGGAAAUAAGAAGAUCAUCAUAUCUACAUUCUGUUAUAAAAAUGUGCACCAAAGCAGCAUUGGAGAAUCUGGAAUCCAGUCAUCACUAUAUUUGAAACCUACUUCUUGAAGUCAACCUGCAUUUCUAGAACCGAACCUGGCAGGCCUCAUCUUCUGAAAGGCAAUGCAUCUAUUUAAUUGUGGUUACAUUUGAUAUGAAAUUAAACUCUGCUUCUGCAAGUCAAAGACUUCCUUUCCAAUGUUGACUAUUAUAAUAAUAAAGGAUGGCAACCAAGCUGACAAUUCCUUUCCGAUGUUCUUAUUCUCAUUUUGAUUUUCUUUUUCUUCUGUUUUGCUUCAUCUUUUAUUUGUUUUUUUAGUUAUUCCUUGAUAAAAGACUUCCUUAAAUUUAAAUGUAGAACUCUGCUUCUGCAAGUCAUAUAGUUUUUGGCAGGAAUGACACACACACUUCCAGAAGUAGGAAUGGCAGUACUCUUCUGCUUGAGUUCUUAACUGCUUUCUCGCUUAGUAUUUCCAAACAAAAUCUCAGCUAACAAUGUAUAGAAAGGCUUUUAUGUGAAAUGCAUAGGGAGGUAUGCCAUGAA